GGGGAGGGAGGGAGGGAGGGGGAGGGAGGGAGGCCCCGCCCCGGGAAUUGUCCUCUGAAGGGGCGGGGCAUGGGCGUCCCCGGCCCUGCUAGCCCCAUCUCCUUCCCUGUCCCUGCUUGGGCAGGAGGCCCAAGCCCUGACAACAGAGGUGAGAGAGGCUGUGCCAGCCCUGCUCUGGGCAUGUUUGGGCUCAAGGGCCAGACUCUGCCUCCAGUCUAGGGCCAAGCUGGGGCCUGUGGCAGGAUCAGAUAGAGGUGAGUGCAUUUUCUGUGAGUGACCCCAUCGAGGCCUAGCCCAGAACAGGUGGGGGCUCUGUGUGGGCCUGGGUGGAGAUCUUUCUUACUGGGCACAGACUCAGUUUAUGACCAAGGUCAGGGCCCAUCCUGGGAUCAGGGAACAGGGAGAAGCAGCUCUUAGCUUCUCCCAGGACAGAACCAGCCCAGGAUUCUUGCUCUAGGAGGGUGAGUCAGGCAGGCGUCUUGGAGUCCACAGGUCUUAGGCUCUUGGGCUGGAGCACAGGCUCUGGGUGAAGGUGAUGUCCGUGAGCUGAGGUCCAGGCUCUCUGGCUCACCAGUGGGUGGGUUUUCAGGGCAGAUGAACCCCCCAUCUCUACCCACAUUCCCCACCUUACAGCUCAACCACCAGGACUCUGUGAACAUGACUGGCCAUCUCCUUCCACUGCUCCUACUUAAGGUCCUGGUGCUUACACAGGAAAGUGGUACCACAACCAGCUCUUUCUAGUGGCAGCUGGACUUGUGGUUGGGGGGUCGCAGCUUCUCUAACUGUCCUCAGGGCUCUGUCCAGAGGUGUGGAUUCUGGUAAACUGGCUAGCUGGAAAGAAUAACCAAAAGCCCUCCACCAUGGUCAAUUUCAGGCUACGCGCAUGACAUCACUACACGUGAAGUUGCGAAGAGAUGUGCAGAAUUGGCUCCAGAACCCCCCUGUCCCUGUCCCAGGACAGUCCCGUU
rnacentral:lncRNA from 10 species